UUUUCCGGUUGAUCCUGCCGGAGGUCACUGCUAUCGGAGUACGACUUAGCCAUGCGAGUCACAGGGACUUCGGUCACUGGCGUACGGCUCAGUAACACGUGGGCAACCUACCCUCAGGACAGGCAUAACCCCGGGAAACUGGGGGCUAAUUCCUGAUAGGCACCCUCAACUGGAAUGUGUCGGUGUCGAAAGCUCCGGCGCCUGAGGAUGGGCCUGCGNCCGAUUAGGUUGUUGGCGGGGUAACAGCCCACCAAGCCGACGAUCGGUACGGGCAGUGAGAGCUGUAGCCCGGAGAUGGGGACUGAGACAAGGCCCCAGGCCCUACGGGGCGCAGCAGGCGCGAAACCUUCACAAUGCUCGAAAGAGUGAUGAGGGUACUCCGAGUGCCAGUGCUUAGCACUGGCUUUUCUGCAGCGUAAAUAGUUGCAGGAAUAAGGGCUGGGCAAGACCGGUGCCAGCCGCCGCGGUAACACCGGCAGCCCUAGUGGUGACCGCUUUUAUUGGGCCUAAAGCGUUCGUAGCCGGGCCGGUAAGUCCUUGGGAAAUCCUGCGUCUCAAGCGCGGGAUUCUAAGGAAACUACC
rnacentral:rRNA from 1 species